CGUCAAUUAUACACAACCUAUGACCAUGUGACAUGUAAAUGUUAGAUCAAAAUAAACAGCAAAUCGAGGUCACAAUCAUUUCACCAGAAUUUGAAAAUUAAGCAACCAGUAACUAUAACCAGUGCUGAGACAUCAACAUGACACCAGAACUCCACUAAUCGAUGCACCAAGAGUCAUUAAGCAAUGUUUAAUCUAUUUUUUCCAUUCGCGACUAUUUUUGUGAUCGAUCCAGGUUGCUUGUUGAGGCAUGAAAAACUAACACAAUAAUCUCUUCAAUGGUUCGAUUGGAUCACCUCGAAUCAUCUUCAAUGUUUGUUCACGAGAUCUCCAAGACUUUGAUUAACAACCACUCCAUAUGUAUGUAAGAUGUCAUCUGAUAUGUAAUUGGGAGUGCAUAUAGUCCAUGAGAUGUAUACUUAUUCUUGAUACAACUGAAUAUAAUGAAACUGGACGCUUGUUCAUGACAUCCCAACACAAUAUUGGUUGAAUAUGUAUGACCAACCCACCCGUCUUUUUAAUCUUAAACAUUUCCGUUUCCCCAAUAUUGAUGAUUUUGAAUGUUAUUUGCAAUCAAGUUGUGAACACUGGACAACGGAUUCUUCUUCCUAGACCGCACAAUCACAAAAACAUAUUUUGGAUUAUAUAGAACGCGAAGCUUAUUUUUAGUCCUCCUUUAUUGUAAAAGACCUAACCAUCAAAUAUUUCUCUUAGAUCCAUAAUAGAUACAAUUGUUCAUUGUAUCAAAAUUCUAUUUUACUACAUCAAAUGCUACUCCGCAUAUUCUACUUGCUCUGUUUUGCAACAAAAACAAUCCUCCAGAUGAUUGUACUGUAAUUAGAUUUGCCUCCAUGUCUGGAAUUCUAUCGCAAAUUAUGUAACGUUUCUACAGUAAAAAUGUUAAUGUACAGAAUGUAACUAAAAGGAUCUGCAUUCACUCUGAGGCAACCUGACAUUAGGCAACAUUUUAUUCAACACAUACUUUUUUCUAACUGAGACUUUCAUAGAAUACAAAACCAAUUCGGACGUUAUAAUUUCAAAAAGUUCAAUAUAUCUUCAGUUAUCUUGUACUAAAACUAAAGAUGUAUUGCCUCCGUAAACAGACACACAUGAACGUACUCCAUAAUUGUAAAAAAUCUCCAAAAGGUAAAGGAUUAGUCAAACAAUCAACUUUCUAGCUGAUACAUCUAAAAGGAAACACCAUGUGAACUUGUGACAUGUAAAGCUAAGAUCGGAAUGAACAGCUAAUUGAGGUCACAACUAGUUCACCAAAAUUUGAACAAAGCAGACAAUAAUUAUGACUAAUGCUAAGACAUCAACACAGCACAAUCUGUCACUUUGUGACUGAUGCAGUUAGCAGCAAAUUUGAACGCCAAAUUUUGUUGUGAUAACAAAAAC
rnacentral:lncRNA from 1 species